AGGAUGCCAUUUGUGUUCAAAGUUUGCUAGCCAAAAUGGAUCGUGCCGUCUACUUACAAAUGAUUAAUAUUGCACAAGUUGUAAUGGAGCUUAUGUGCCAGCUGAUAGCAACAUAUCAAGCUAUAAUAAGACAACAACGAUGCUGU